GCAAACUACGGGGACAUCUGAUAGAAUUGGAACGAUACAGAGAAGAUCAACAUGGCCCCUGUGCAAGGAUGACAUGCACAAAUCAAGAAAUGAUAAUAGAGCUA